GACGAACGCUGGCGGCGUGCUUAACACAUGCAAGUCGAACGGAAAGGCCCUGCUUUUGUGGGGUGCUCGAGUGGCGAACGGGUGAGUAACACGUGAGUAACCUGCCCUUGACUUUGGGAUAACUUCAGGAAACUGGGGCUAAUACCGGAUAGGAGCUCCUGCUGCAUGGUGGGGGUUGGAAAGUUUCGGCGGCUGGGGAUGGACUCGCGGCUUAUCAGCUUGUUGGUGGGGUAGUGGCUUACCAAGGCUUUGACGGGUAGCCGGCCUGAGAGGGUGACCGGCCACAUUGGGACUGAGAUACGGCCCAGACUCCUACGGGAGGCAGCAGUGGGGAAUAUUGCACAAUGGGCGGAAGCCUGAUGCAGCAACGCCGCGUGCGGGAUGACGGCCUUCGGGUUGUAAACCGCUUUCGCCUGUGACGAAGCGUGAGUGACGGUAAUGGGUAAAGAAGCACCGGCUAACUACGUGCCAGCAGCCGCGGUGAUACGUAGGGUGCGAGCGUUGUCCGGAUUUAUUGGGCGUAAAGGGCUCGUAGGUGGUUGAUCGCGUCGGAAGUGUAAUCUUGGGGCUUAACCCCUGAGCGUGCUUUCGAUACGGGUUGACUUGAGGAAGGUAGGGGAGAAUGGAAUUCCUGGUGGAGCGGUGGAAUGCGCAGAUAUCAGGAGGAACACCAGUGGCGAAGGCGGUUCUCUGGGCCUUUCCUGACGCUGAGGAGCGAAAGCGUGGGGAGCGAACAGGCUUAGAUACCCUGGUAGUCCACGCUGUAAACGGUGGGUACUAGGUGUGGGGUCCAUUCCACGGGUUCCGUGCCGUAGCUAACGCUUUAAGUACCCCGCCUGGGGAGUACGGCCGCAAGGCUAAAACUCAAAGGAAUUGACGGGGCCCCGCACAAGCGGCGGAGCAUGCGGAUUAAUUCGAUGCAACGCGUAGAACCUUACCUGGGUUUGACAUGGAUCGGGAGCGCUCAGAGAUGGGUGUGCCUCUUUUGGGGUCGGUUCACAGGUGGUGCAUGGCUGUCGUCAGCUCGUGUCGUGAGAUGUUGGGUUAAGUCCCGCAACGAGCGCAACCCUUGUUCACUGUUGCCAGCACGUUAUGGUGGGGACUCAGUGGAGACCGCCGGGGUCAACUCGGAGGAAGGUGGGGAUGACGUCAAGUCAUCAUGCCCCUUAUGUCCAGGGCUUCACGCAUGCUACAAUGGCUGGUACAGAGAGUGGCGAGCCUGUGAGGGUGAGCGAAUCUCGGAAAGCCGGUCUCAGUUCGGAUUGGGGGCUGCAACUCGACCUCAUGAAGUCGGAGUCGCUAGUAAUCGCAGAUCAGCAACGCUGCGGUGAAUACGUUCCCGGG
rnacentral:rRNA from 1 species